CGGCAACAGCUCAAAUUUGAAAUCUGGCGCAAGCCCGAGUUGUAAUUUGUAGAGGAUGUUUCUGGCGACGUGCCUUCCGAGUUCCCUGGAACGGGACGCCAUAGAGGGUGAGAGCCCCGUACGGUUGGUUGCCUAGCCUCUGUGAAACUCCUUCGACGAGUCGAGUAGUUUGGGAAUGCUGCUCUAAAUGGGAGGUAUACGUCUUCUAAAGCUAAAUACCGGCCAGAGACCGAUAGCGCACAAGUAGAGUGAUCGAAAGAUGAAAAGCACUUUGAAAAGAGGGUUAAAUAGUACGUGAAAUUGUUGAAAGGGAAGCGUUUAUGACCAGACUUGAGCAGGUUGAUCAUCCGUGGUUCUCCGCGGUGCACUCUGCCUGUUCAGGCCAGCAUCAGUUUGGUUCGGGGGAUAAAGGCUUCGGGAAUGUAGCUCCCUCGGGAGUGUUAUAGACCGUUGCGUAAUACCCUGAUCCGGACUGAGGUUCGCGCUCUGCAAGGAUGCUGGCGUAAUGGUCAUCAGCGACCCGUCUUGAAACACGGACCAAGGAGUCGUCUUCGUAUGCGAGUGUUCGGGUGUCAAACCCCUACGCGUAAUGAAAGUGAACGUAGGAGAGAGCUUCGGCGCAUCUCCGACCGAUCCUGAUGUUCUCGGAUGGAUUUGAGUAAGAGCAUACGGGGCCGGACCCGAAAGAAGGUGAACUAUGCCUGUAUAGGGUGAAGCCAGAGGAAACUCUGGUGGAGGCUCGCAGCGGUUCUGACGUGCAAAUCGAUCGUCAAAUAUGGGCAUGGGGGCGAA
rnacentral:rRNA from 1 species